AAAGUUUGGAGUGUCGGGUGUU
rnacentral:miRNA from 1 species